rnacentral:rRNA from 1 species
UACGAAGGGGGCUAGCGUUGUUCGGAAUUACUGGGCGUAAAGCGCACGUAGGCGGACAUUUAAGUCAGGGGUGAAAUCCCGGAGCUCAACUCCGGAACUGCCUUUGAUACUGGGUGUCUCGAGUCCGGGAGAGGUGAGUGGAACUGCGAGUGUAGAGGUGAAAUUCGUAGAUAUUCGCAAGAACACCAGUGGCGAAGGCGGCUCACUGGCCCGGUACUGACGCUGAGGCACGAAAGCGUGGGGAGCAAACAGG